rnacentral:rRNA from 1 species
CACGUAGGGGGCAAGCGUUGUCCGGAUUUAUUGGGCGUAAAGAGCUCGUAGGCGGCUUAGUAAGUCGGGUGUGAAACCUCCAGGCUCAACCUGGAGACGCCACCCGAUACUGCUGUGGCUAGAGUCCGGUAGGGGAGCGUGGAAUUCCUGGUGUAGCGGUGAAAUGCGCAGAUAUCAGGAGGAACACCGAUGGCGAAGGCAGAUCUCUGGGCCGUAACUGACGCUGAGGAGCGAAAGCGUGGGGAGCGAACAGG